rnacentral:rRNA from 1 species
UACAGAGGUCUCAAGCGUUGUUCGGAUUCAUUGGGCGUAAAGGGUGCGUAGGCGGCGCGGUAAGUCGGGUGUGAAAUCUUGGAGCUUAACUCCGAAACUGCAUUCGAUACUGCCGUGCUUGAGGACUGGAGAGGAGACUGGAAUUUACGGUGUAGCGGUGAAAUGCGUAGAUAUCGUAAGGAACACCGGUGGCGAAGGCGGUUCUCUGGGCAUGUCCUGACGCUGAGGAGCGAAAGUGUGGGGAGCGAACAGG